UCCUAAGAGCCACUGUGGCUUCUGGAGACGCUUACAUCAGUGUCUUUUCCUUUAAAUAUCCUGAGCUGAAGCGCCCUUUGCUUGUGAUCUCGUGCAUGCCCACACAGCCGAAAAUAGCCACUGCACAAGGAAAAGCUGGAGGUUACCAAGGGAUGUGCUCAUGCAGUAGCAUUUAUCUGGGACCUCAGCACUUGAAAAGAACAAAGACCAGGACAGUGGAGAGGAGGCUCAACCCCUAACAGCAAAGUUGUGUUUGCUGCUGUUCUGUUCUCCACACGGUGUCCCACUCCACCUCUCCCUGCAUCCUCUGUGCUUUCUGGCAUUGCAUAAAGGCUGCUGGCUGGCACAGGCUGGGUACAUGCAGCUUUGUGCUGGGGUCCUGGUGGCAGACACCCACUGUUGAAGUACGCUGUUAUGGGGGCAAACAAAAAAGAGAGGAAAGGAACAUUUUUCCCAGAGGCCGUGUGCUGCCCGUCCCCAUUUGUUGUUUUAAGUGCCUCUGGUCUCCCAGUGUUAUCUAUGGAGCAAUGUGUGCCAUGCAAUGGGAUGGGAGCUGCCCUCACUGCUUUGCUGUGGGGCUGUAUGGCCCCAGGAGAGGCUCAGAGGUGCAAGGAGCUCUGCAUGGCACAGCUCUGCCUGGGCAGCUGCAGUUCUUUUUCCUCUUUUUGGUCAACACCCAACAUAUCACCUCAGUUCCCAAACUGGCUGCCUCUGGUCCUGCAGAGGAGGAAGCUGUGUGCUCUCCCCUGGGUUCAGGGCAAGUCUGGGUGGGCCCGUGUGAGUCGGAUGCAUUUAAAGACCUAAGCAAUACAUAAGGUCCUUAUUUAGUAAGGACAAGCUUCUGUAAGGUGCUCGCUUGGGUUCACGCCUGCCCUUUAAUUGCAAUGGGUAACGAAUUGCUUGCAGCUCCCACCCUGCCAUCCCCAAACAGCCUGGGAGGACCUGAAGAGCUUUGGGCUGCCUGCAUAGGAAAAAUUGGAUGCUUGAAACGCAAAAGAAUCUGCCCUGUAAAAGUCCAGGAGGAUAAGUCAUGCUUUCCUGCCACAUACAAUGCCAAAAAUAAAACAAGGCUGGUUUUGCAAUGCUGGUAGUUACAGCAGAUCAUGGGGCUGUUUUUCCUUUUUGCAGUGCAAAAACUCUUCCAACCAUAGCACUGAAAGCCUCCUUUAACAAAACCCUUGCUUUUUUUUUUUCCCAGCCCUGCUGGAUGCAGGCAGCCACAGGAGGAUGGGCUGCUGGGGGUUAAGGCUGUGACCUGAAUGAGAGCCACUGCUGCAUCUCACAGACAGCAGAGUGGAAAUAAAUCUGACCUUGUUCCCAACGCCAGAGCCUUUGUAAUGCUGGAGUAGCACAGAAGGAUGAGGUGCCUCAGGCAUGCUCAGCUCUGUGCUGUUGCUUUGGGGUGUGGGAUAUUUGUUUGUUCCCAAACGCAUUGAUCAGAGCAGUUCUCAUAGCUGGGACGCAGUCAGGCCUUUCCCCUGAAUCCCCAGCAGCCAAUAAAUAAUUCUGUCAUCCCUCAGCCCUCCUGUGCUGUCAGCUCUGAUUGUCCCAGUGCUUGCCCUCUGCCCCUCCUGGCCUUGGCAGCGUGCAUUAUUUGCUCUGAGGCCAUUUCCUUUAGCCAAGGAUGAGAUCUGAAUGCAGAGCUCUGGAGUCACGGCGCAGCUGUUUACAGAACCCUUCUGCUUGCUGUCACGAGUUGGGAAGCAGCACGAGUAACAAGCAGUUGUUUGUCUGCCACGUGGGAGAUGGGAGUCCAAAAAGCAGAGUGCUGCUGGGCUGCUCACCCUGGGCAGCAUCUCUCAUCUGCUCUUACAUGUUUCUGCAUUGCUCUCCUGCUGGUCCCUGCGCUCAGAUCAGCAGGAGUCACCAUCCUGCUUUGUCUGAAGCCUGCAGGACUGCAGGCAUUGCUUUAAUGCUUUGUGUUUGACCUGGCAGCGGUGCAAAGGGGAGGAUUUGGGGCUGCCUGUGCUCACCCUACACCUAUGGAGUCAUCUGCUUCUUUUCCACCUUGGCUGUAAUUUUGGCUCAACAGAGAGGGCUGUGGCCACCAACAAACCCUGAUGCACCAGAGGGAGAGAGCUGUGUGGAAUUGUCGAGAAGGAGCGGAGGAAGAGCGUGGAAGAGGAUACUGCAUGCAAAGCUGACAAAGAGGAGGCAGGGGGAGAGCAGCUGGGGGAGGUGGAUGCAGCUAUAGGAUGCAGUUGGGCGUCUGAGACAGCAGAAGAGUUGGGCUGAAGGGAAAGUUAUGCCAGUGACGUGCAGAAAGUAAGAGUGGAGUUGGAUUCCUGGGGAUGGAGGCUUGGGGAUACCGUGGGUAUGGUUCUGCUUUGCUGGCAGGAUGCAUCCCAAGAGCAGCAACUGGAGGGUUUGCCUGCAGAGCUCUGAGGUGCUGGGCAUCACCGUAUGCCCACCUCCAUCCACAUGCUUUGAGAGCUCUGGCCAAAUCUGAGGGCCUUCUGAAGCAGCCCUUCACCUAAAUGAAGUGCAGCAAUUCAGACGGUGCACCGAAAGCUGUACAACAAACUGGGCAGCCGUUUGGUGCUGUAGUCCCCUGCUCCAUCUCCUCCCUUGCAGUCUGGGAGGCCUGGUGGGUAUCAGCCCUCCCCUCCCCGCUUUCCAAACAGUCACGCUGCGCUCUGCUCUGCUCAUGCAGGCAUCUGGCAUCAGGCUGCUCUAUU